GUGGGUAGUUUGACUGGGGCGGUCUCCUCCCAAAGCGUAACGGAGGAGCACGAAGGUUAGCUAAUCCUGGUCGGACAUCAGGAGGUUAGUGCAAUGGCAUAAGCUAGCUUGACUGCGAGCGUGACGGCGCGAGCAGGUGCGAAAGCAGGUCAUAGUGAUCCGGUGGUUCUGAAUGGAAGGGCCAUCGCUCAACGGAUAAAAGGUACUCCGGGGAUAACAGGCUGAUACCGCCCAAGAGUUCAUAUCGACGGCGGUGUUUGGCACCUCGAUGUCGGCUCAUCACAUCCUGGGGCUGAAGUAGGUCCCAAGGGUAUGGCUGUUCGCCAUUUAAAGUGGUACGCGAGCUGGGUUUAGAACGUCGUGAGACAGUUCGGUCCCUAUCUGCCGUGGGCGCUGGAGAAUUGAGGGGGGCUGCUCCUAGUACGAGAGGACCGGAGUGGACGCAUCACUGGUGUUCGGGUUGUCAUGCCAAUGGCACUGCCCGGUAGCUAAAUGCGGAAGAGAUAAGUGCUGAAAGCAUCUAAGCACGAAACUUGCCCCGAGAUGAGUUCUCCCUGAGACUUUAAGUCUCC
rnacentral:rRNA from 1 species